CUCUCCUAUUCUUUUGUCAGGUAAUAUUCAGCAAACGGCCGCGCAGCAUCAAACAACCUUAUAUGGCCACUGCAUUAUCGGCUGGGUUUGAUGAAAUCAAGCCUCCUGAUAUCACAAAAUCGGGUGUUGAAGAACGAUCGUUGACUGCUCAUUGGAUUUCGAAGACAAUCUCGACCCAGUUGUUGGCAUCUUUUCAGUUUCUCCAGUAGUGUAAAACUUGAUGUCUAGCUAAUAUCGGUGACAAAUCAGUUCAAACACUGUUAAGGAAAAUGUGUUACCAAAAAUAUUCCUUCUCCUGUGGGUGGGUGAACUGACGGCUUCACAAAGCAAAAAAUCAAAGCAGUUGAUUUCCAAAAGUCGUGAAAAUGUGGGUGAAUUGAACCCGAGGCACCUCAAUCAAGUGUUCCAUUGGCAUCUAAGACAGCUGACAUUCAGGGUUUUCUUCAUCUUGCAAUCGAUCAUGGUUUUCUGCCAUUAUGUAAAGUUUGUUGCCACCUCAUCAACUGAUACAAACUCACUCCAGAUCAAAAAGAGCCCAAAGGCACUUGGUGACCUGUUUGAGAGUAUUACGGGGGCCAUAUUACUCCAUACAAAACUUGAUGUUGAUGAAGUUUGGAGAAUACUUGAGCUGUUAUUACCUCUAAUUGUUACAGUAAAAAAACUCGAGCUUCCACCAUACCGGGAAUUAAGAUAGUUUUGUACCUCCAAGGGGUAUUUUGUAAAAGACUAAGUAUAGAAGCAAUGGUGAUGCUGUAAUAGCAGAGCUAAGGUUGCAGCUUGAAGAUGCUUUACUGAUUGCAGAGGGCUCGGGUAACACAAGGAAAGUUGCAAGGGGCCAAGCCGCUCUUAAAAUGUUAAGCCAGCUUGAGAAACAAGGAAUUUCAAGAAAGAAUCAGGGUCAUGAUGAUAAGAACAUCAAAGUAGUUGCAAACACCACUAUUGUCACUGAAUGUUUGGAGGAAGAGUCAACUUCCAAAACUCAAAUCCCAGAGUUGCUGGAAUGUGUUGAUCAUCAAUUCGUUAAACUUAAACUUGGGUUGUUUCUCAAGAGAUUUACGGCGGAUUGUCUUUAAUGAAUGAAGAUCUUCGGUAGAUAAUGAAAACCGAGCGAUCGGAUACAAGAGUAGAUACUUGGUGCGGAGACCACAAACUCUCCUUCAAUAGGAAGUUGCAACGUAAAUGUAAUGCGCUCAACAUUCAAAGUGCCAGAGCAGAAAUCGCAUGUCGGAGAUGGACUUGUUUUAAGCCCAAAGUCAAUGUUCAAAUAUGAGUUUUCAAGAUAACAAGAUCAAAACAAAGAUAAAUCAAGUUCACUCCUUGUUUGCUUGUCACUCAAGAAUUCAAUCUUUAGCUUUUCGGGUUCUAUGCGACAUUGCAUAUAUGACGAUCUCUUUGAGAAAAGCGGAAGUCCAGUCGAACUUGAUCAGAACUCAAUGGUGGAAAUUUAGAGAGCGGUGCACAAAAUUGGGAAAUUUAGAGCCACUUGCCUAAUCGGAAUAUGGACUGAUCUCAAAGUUCAAAGGGUGUUGGGAUUUCCAUGAAUUUCUCCAGUUUCAUGAUUGAAGACUACUUUGAACAAUAGAUCUAGUAUCUCUGAAUGAACAAAUGUAGCUAGUGUGGUGGUGUUGGGCCUUCCUAAUCUGGUCUCAUGAUCCGCAAAUGAAUCACAACAGUUACAAUGCCGUUUUUUCUAAGCUUUAGUUGAUUAACAAGCACACAAAUGAAUCUUGAAGAUUCUUAAAAAAAGUUAUUUAUAUUUAUUUUUCUUUUGAAAGAUUUCUGAAUCUUUGUA